rnacentral:rRNA from 1 species
GGGUCAGUAGGUUGGUCGUGCCACCGGUACGUACUGGUCUCACUGAUUCCUCCUUCCUGAAUAACCGUAAUGCCAUUAAUUUGGUGUUGCGGGGAAACAGGACUGAUACUUUGAAAAAAUUAGAGUGUUUAAAGCAAGCUAACGCUUGAAUACAUUAGCAUGGAAUAAUGAAAUAGGACGAUCGAUCCUAUUUUGUUGGUUUCUAGGAUUGACGUA